CCCCAGCCCCCGCCACCCCGGCGCCGGCCCCUCUCACCCUUUCAUUCUCUGCCCGGGGCCUGACGCGGGCCGGCGGAUCCCCGGCCUCACAUCAGAGUGAGAGGCGCUGGCAAUGGACUAGGAAGCUCGGCUGCUGCUGCUACUGCUCCCCCCUGGGCUCCGGCGAGAGCCUUUCCCUGUCAAGCAAGAGGGGCUAAUAAUGCUGCUUCUCCGUUGCGGAUCCAAGUUCUGUGUCUGGUGGUCAGUUUAUAAAUUUGUACUUCAAGAGACUUCAUAGCCACUGUAUCUUAUAUUGGUCUAUGGAUAUGUUUUUACAUGCAUAUUUGCAAGUCGCUUUCUAUAUAAAAAUUUGUACUACAUAUUCCACUCAAAACUGAGAUUGCCAAAAGACAAUUGUUAAGGGAUGUCUUUUGUCUCCUUGUCUCAAAGCUAUGUAAAUAAAACCUGACUGUCCAGAAAGGCAUGA